rnacentral:rRNA from 1 species
UAAUUGAAGAGUUUGAUCAUGGCUCAGAUUGAACGCUGGCGGCAGGCUUAACACAUGCAAGUCGAACGGUAACAGAAGAAAAGCUUGCUUUUCUUGCUGACGAGUGGCGGACGGGUGAGUAAUGCUUGGGAAUCUGCCUUAUGGAGGGGGAUAACUACGGGAAACUGUAGCUAAUACCGCGUAAUGUCUUUGGACUAAAGUAUGGGAUCUUCGGACCAUAUGCCAUGAGAUGAGCCCAAGUGAGAUUAGGUAGUUGGUGAGGUAAAGGCUCACCAAGCUGACGAUCUCUAGCUGGUUUGAGAGGAUGACCAGCCACACUGGAACUGAGACACGGUCCAGACUCCUACGGGAGG